rnacentral:rRNA from 1 species
GUAGGGAAUUUUCGUCAAUGGGCGCAAGCCUGAACGAGCGAUGCCGCGUGAGUGAAGAAGGCCUUCGGGUCGUAAAGCUCUGUUGCGGGGGAAAAAAGGCAGCAUCAGGAAAUGGGUGCUGACUGAUGGUGCCCCGCCAGAAAGUCACGGCUAACUACGUGCCAGCAGCCGCGGUAAUACGUAGGUGGCGAGCGUUAUCCGGAAUGAUUGGGCGUAAAGGGUGCGCAGGCGGUCCUGCAAGUCUGGAGUGAAACGCAUGAGCUCAACUCAUGCAUGGCUUUGGAAACUGGAGGACUGGAGAGCAGGAGAGGGCGGUGGAACUCCAUGUGUAGCGGUAAAAUGCGUAGAUAUAUGGAAGAACACCAGUGGCGAAGGCGGCCGCCUGGCCUGUUGCUGACGCUGAGGCACGAAAGCGUGGGGAGCAAAUAGGAUUAGAAACCCUUGUAGUCC